GAUGAACGCUGGCGGCGUGCCUAAUACAUGCAAGUCGAGCGAACGGACGAGAAGCUUGCUUUUCUGAUGUUAGCGGCGGACGGGUGAGUAACACGUGGAUAACCUACCUAUAAGACUGGGAUAACUUCGGGAAACCGGAGCUAAUACCGGAUAAUAUUUUGAACCGCAUGGUUCAAAAGUGAAAGACGGUCUUGCUGUCACUUAUAGAUGGAUCCGCGCUGCAUUAGCUAGUUGGUAAGGUAACGGCUUACCAAGGCAACGAUGCAUAGCCGACCUGAGAGGGUGAUCGGCCACACUGGAAGUGAGACACGGUCCAGACUCCUACGGGAGGCAGCAGUAGGGAAUCUUCCGCAAUGGGCGAAAGCCUGACGGAGCAACGCCGCGUGAGUGAUGAAGGUCUUCGGAUCGUAAAACUCUGUUAUUAGGGAAGAACAUAUGUGUAAGUAACUGUGCACAUCUUGACGGUACCUAAUCAGAAAGCCACGGCUAACUACGUG
rnacentral:rRNA from 1 species